rnacentral:rRNA from 1 species
GACGAACGCUGGCGGCGUGCUUAACACAUGCAAGUCGAACGGAAAGGCCCCUUUGGGGGUACUCGAGUGGCGCACGGGUGAGUAACACGUGAGUAACCUGCCCUUGACUUCGGGAUAACUUCAGGAAACUGGGGCUAAUACCGGAUAGGAAUCCUUGCUGCAUGGUGGGGGUUGGAAAGCUUCGGCGGUUUUGGAUGGACUCGCGGCUUAUCAGCUUGUUGGUGGGGUAGUGGCUUACCAAGGCUUUGACGGGUAGCCGGCCUGAGAGGGUGACCGGCCACAUUGGGACUGAGAUACGGCCCAGACUCCUACGGGAGGCAGCAGUGGGGAAUAUUGCACAAUGGGCGGAAGCCUGAUGCAGCAACGCCGCGUGCGGGAUGACGGCCUUCGGGUUGUAAACCGCUUUCAGCAGGGGCGAAGCUUGUGGUGACGGUACCUGCAGAAGAAGCACCGGCUAACUACGUG